rnacentral:rRNA from 1 species
CCUACGGGAGGCAGCAGUGGGGAAUAUUGCACAAUGGGGGAAACCCUGAUGCAGCGACGCCGCGUGAGUGAAGAAGCGCCUCGGCGCGUAAAGCCCUGUCAGCAGGAACGAUAAUGACGGUACCUGAAGAAGAAGCCCCGGCUAACUACGUGCCAGCAGCCGCGGUAAUACGUAGGGGGCAAGCGUUAUCCGGAUUUACUGGGUGUAAAGGGAGCGUAGACGGCGGGGCAAGUCUGGAGUGAACGGCCGGGGCCCAACCCCGGGACAGCGCUGGAAACUGCCCGGCUGGAGUGCGGGAGAGGUAAGGGGAAUUCCGAGGGUAGCGGGGAAAUGCGGAGAUAUUAGGAGGAACACCAGCGGCGGAGGCGGCGUACUGGACCGUAACUGACGUUGAGGCUCGAAAGCGUGGGGAGCAAACAGGAUUAGAUACCCUGGUAGUC